rnacentral:rRNA from 1 species
GGAUCCAGACUUUGAUCCUGGCUCAGGAUGAACGCUAGCGACAGGCUUAACACAUGCAAGUCGAGGGGCAUCAUGAGGUAGCAAUACCUUGAUGGCGACCGGCGCACGGGUGAGUAACGCGUAUGCAACCUGCCCGAUACCGGGGUAUAGCCCAUGGAAACGUGGAUUAACACCCCAUAGUACUUUUAUCCUGCAUGGGAUGUGAGUUAAAUGUUCAAGGUAUCGGAUGGGCAUGCGUCCUAUUAGUUAGUUGGCGGGGUAACAGCCCACCAAGACGAUGAUAGGUAGGGGUUCUGAGAGGAAGGUCCCCCACAUUGGAACUGAGACACGGUCCAAACUCCUACGGGAGGCAGCAGUGAGGAAUAUUGGUCAAUGGACGUAAGUCUGAACCAGCCAAGUCGCGUGAGGGAAGACUGCCCUAUGGGUUGUAAACCUCUUUUAUAAGGGAAGAAUAAGUUCUACGUGUAGAAUGAUGCCUGUACCUUAUGAAUAAGCAUCGGCUAACUCCGUGCCAGCAGCCGCGGUAAUACGGAGGAUGCGAGCGUUAUCCGGAUUUAUUGGGUUUAAAGGGUGCGUAGGCGGUUUAUUAAGUUAGUGGUUAAAUAUUUGAGCUAAACUCAAUUGUGCCAUUAAUACUGGUAAACUGGAGUACAGACGAGGUAGGCGGAAUAAGUUAAGUAGCGGUGAAAUGCAUAGAUAUAACUUAGAACUCCGAUAGCGAAGGCAGCUUACCAGACUGUAACUGACGCUGAUGCACGAGAGCGUGGGUAGCGAACAGGAUUAGAUACCCUGGUAGUCCACGCCGUAAACGAUGCUCACUGGUUCUGUGCGAUAUAUUGUACGGGAUUAAGCGAAAGUAUUAAGUGAGCCACCUGGGGAGUACGUCGGCAACGAUGCAACUCAAAUGAAUUGACGG